AUUGAACGCUGGCGGCAGGCCUAACACAUGCAAGUCGAGCGAGCGGCGGACGGGUGAGGAAUGUAUGGGGACUGCCCGAUAGAGGGGGUUAACUACUGGAAACGGUAGCUAAUACCGCAUACUAUCGGAUAACCCAUAUGGGAUUAGCUUGUAGGUGAGGUAAUGGCUCACCUAGGCGACGAUCCCUAGCUGGGCUGAGAGGAUGAGCAGCCACACUGGGACUGAGACACGGCCCAUACGCCCAGGGAGGCAGCAGUGGGGAAUAUUGGACAAUGGGCGCAAGCCUGAUGCAGCCAUGCCGCGGGUGUGACGAAGGCCCUCGGGGUGUAAAGUACGUUCAGUCGGGAGGCGGUACCGGCAGAAGAAGCACCGGCUAACUCCGUGCCAGCAGCCGCGGUAAUUC
rnacentral:rRNA from 1 species